rnacentral:rRNA from 1 species
CCUACGGGGGGCAGCAGUGGGGAAUCUUGCGCAAUGGGCGAAAGCCUGACGCAGCCAUGCCGCGUGAAUGAUGAAGGUCUUAGGAUUGUAAAAUUCUUUCACCGGGGACGAUAAUGACGGUACCCGGAGAAGAAGCCCCGGCUAACUUCGUGCCAGCAGCCGCGGUAAUACGAAGGGGGCUAGCGUUGCUCGGAAUUACUGGGCGUAAAGGGAGCGUAGGCGGAUAGUUUAGUCAGAGGUGAAAGCCCAGGGCUCAACCUUGGAAUUGCCUUUGAUACUGGCUAUCUUGAGUAUGGGAGAGGUAUGUGGAACUCCGAGUGUAGAGGUGAAAUUCGUAGAUAUUCGGAAGAACACCAGUGGCGAAGGCGACAUACUGGCCCAUUACUGACGCUGAGGCUCGAAAGCGUGGGGAGCAAACAGGAUUAGAUACCCUUGUAGU